rnacentral:rRNA from 1 species
GACAGAGGGUGCAAACGUUGCUCGGAAUCAUUGGGCGUAAAGCGCACGUAGGCGGCCCGCUAAGUCGGAUGUGAAAUCCCUCGGCUCAACCGAGGACGUGCAUUCGAUACUGGCAGGCUUGAAUAUGGAAGAGGGUCGCGGAAUUCCCGGUGUAGAGGUGAAAUUCGUAGAUAUCGGGAGGAACACCAGUGGCGAAGGCGGCGACCUGGGCCAAUAUUGACGCUGAGGUGCGAAAGCGUGGGGAGCAAACAGG